rnacentral:rRNA from 1 species
UUGGGGAAUUUUCCGCAAUGGGCGAAAGCCUGACGGAGCAAUACCGCGUGAGGGAGGAAGGCUCUUGGGUUGUAAACCUCUUUUCUCAGGGAAGAACACAAUGACGGUACCUGAGGAAUCAGCAUCGGCUAACUCCGUGCCAGCAGCCGCGGUAAUACGGAGGAUGCAAGCGUUAUCCGGAAUGAUUGGGCGUAAAGCGUCCGCAGGUGGCUGUGUAAGUCUGCUGUCAAAGAGCAAAGCUCAACUUUGUAAAGGCAGUGGAAACUACACGGCUAGAGUGCGUUCGGGGCAGAGGGAUUCCUGGUGUAGCGGUGAAAUGCGUAGAGAUCAGGAAGAACACCGUGGCGAAGCGCUCUGCUAGCCGCAACGACACUAGGACGAAUGCAGAUGGA